UACGAAGGGGGCUAGCGUUGCUCGGAAUCACUGGGCGUAAAGCGCACGUAGGCGGCUUUCUAAGUCAGGGGUGAAAUCCUGGAGCUCAACUCCAGAACUGCCUUCGAUACUGACGAUCUCGAGUCCGGGAGAGGUGAGUGGAACUCCGAGUGUAGAGGUGAAAUUCGUAGAUAUUCGGAAGAACACCAGUGGCGAAGGCGGCUCACUGGCCCGGUACUGACGCUGAGGUGCGAAAGCGUGGGGAGCAAACAGG
rnacentral:rRNA from 1 species